rnacentral:lncRNA from 10 species
AAAAAUUCAGUAAGAGAACUUUCAAAGACUUUUUGCUUUUAUUUUAUAUUUUAUUAAAAUUUUUAUUUAUUAGAAAUUCCUACGGUUCUGGAAAUUGUACUUUCCUAGGAAGUGUACAUGUGUCAUCAUUAUAUUAGCAAAACAACUUGUGGAUUUUUGCAGACAGCUGAAUUAUAUGUUAUAUGUAUAUUUUAGAGAAUAUAUUGGUCUAUUUGAACAUAGUCCACUAUACAUUUAUACACAUAUAUUGACUUGCAGCAUAGUUCAAUAUUUUAAAUCAUUAUAGUGCCUUUUAAAUAUAUUUGUUUUUAUAAUAAAUCUUUGGCAUGUUAUAGUUAUUUGAUAGAAUAUUCUUACUGUGCCUGAGGAACUGUCUGAUCAUAAACUUUUUUUUAAGUAAUAUGCUUUAGACGAGUUGCUGAUUACAGGGACAACUUACGGAAAAAUGGCGAUGGUUUAUAUUAACAAUACUGCCUGCCCCAUUAACGGACAUAUGCCUGAAGAGACUUAAAAUAGCUUUCACUUUACUUUCAUUCCCAAAUACUAUUUUUAUUAUAAACUUUCCACCAGGAAAACCUUACUAGGCACACCUCAGUAAUAGAAAAUAAGUAAUAAAGACUAAGAUUUAUGUUCUUAUGUCUACACCUUAAUCUAAAUUAUUACAAUUAUAAAUCUUUUCAUUUCAUGAGACUGGUAAAUUCCAUUUUUAUAAACUGAAAAAUCAAUUUUAUUUGAAAAAUUAAAAUAGAAAUUGUAAUUUCCCACCCCCCCACCCCCAUACACACCCCCACAUU